AAUUAUAUUCCUAAAUGAAUUUGGAAUCAUAGUGAGCCGUUACAUUCAAACAAAAACCAACUCUCAUUAGGAUUGUAUGUUAUGCUUAUAAGUAAAUCGAACCGAACCCGCCAUUUCAUUUUUCUUUACCCGCCAUUUCAUUUCACUUCUUGUUUCUCUCUGAUUGUGUUUAUUGUGUGAUGUGCUUAUAUUUGUGCAUUCUUUUAUAUGUGUUUAUAUGAUCUGUUUUUUGAUUUUGAUUUUGUUUUUCUCUCCGAUUGUUUAUGUCUCUCUGAUUCUGUAUUUUUUUACACCUGUGUUAGUGCUUGUAUUUAUGAGUGUAUUUUUAUGUUUAAUCGUUUGUGAUUUUGUGCCUUUGAGUUUGUGGUUGUCUUUCUUUAGGUCAGUUUUUUUAUGUGAUUUUGUGUAUCUAUGAUGAGUGCGAAUGUUGUUUGUGUUAGUAAUUUUUGUUUCUUUUUUUCUCUUUUGAGUGGGUUUGUAUACCUAGUUGUGUUUCUGAUUUUUUUCUACAUGUGUUUGUGAAUUUUCAGAUUUUUUGCUAUGAGCUUUGAAUGUUAUGGGUUUGUAGCUUGAUUUGAUUUGGGUUGUAGGUACUCUGUUAGUAACUUUGUGUCUUUAGUUUGUGAUUUUAUGUAAUUUUGGGUGAAUUGUUUUGUAUUUUUGUAUUUCAGUGUUUGUGAAUUUGUGUAUUUUUCCCUAAUGUUUGUGAUUUUGCGUCUUUUAGUUUGUGGGUGUCUCCUUUGUGAGUGCAUUUGUGAAUAAUUUUUGUUUUGUUUUUCUCUUUUUUCUGGUUGUGUUUUUGAUUCUUUUCUGUGUGUUUGUGAAUUUCCAGUUAUUUUUGAUUUUUUUUUUUUAUGAUUUUGGAGCCUUUUGGGUUUGUAGUUUGAUUUGAUUGGGUUCUAAGUAUGUAUUGCUCUCGACAGUUGGUACAAAUUUCAUAAAAGUUUUGAACAUUUUUUGUGCGAGUGGUGAAUAAUCUUAGAUUUCGUAACUAAACAGCUGAAUAGUCUUAGAUUUUUGAUUUUUCAGUUUACCUCCUGUAAUGCUAAUGGGAGAUUGUAUUUGGGCGACUACUACUACUAGCCUAUUUUCUGUUAGAUUUAUACCUGGAAUCAGUUUUUAAAGGUUUAUGCAUCUGCUAUGUCAUUACCUUAUGCAUAGUACGUUAUAUCGAUGUAAGACUUGCAAUGCAUAGCAAGGAGAAUGAAAGAAACAUGUUUGCUUCCAUGGUCGUGUUAUUUUAUUUCAGGUUGACCCUGUUUCAGCAGUAGCUCCAUGUGAUAAAGAAUUUAUUGUCUCCUCUAGGGGCUUGUUAAGGGUCUUGGUAGCGGGAUUGAGAUUUUGCUGAUGUCAGCUUUGUUUACAAUGAGUUUCCAAAAUAUAAGUUGGGACCUGAUAAUCAGAUUGUGGAAGAGUCGAUAGAAGAAACUAAAGGUCCAUCCUUAAAAGAAGUUGUUGAUUAAGAAACUAUGCAAUUGUCAGAUCAGCAAAAGCGCCUAUCUGUUCGUGAUCUGGCUACUAAAUUUGACACCAACUUGGCUGCUGCUGCCAAGAUGGCUCAGGAGACAAAACUUAGAGAGGUGGCUUCUUUGGAAGGACAUAUUCUUUUAAAGAAGCUUAGAGAUGCUUUAGAAUCUUUAAGAGGACAUAUGGCAGGCCGAAACAAGGAGGAUGUAGAGAAAGCUAUCUCCGUGGUGUGGUGUGCAUUUGCGCCCUCGAUUGGCCGAAUUUUUUAAUGUUGCAGCCAAAUAACUGAGCACACCUAAGCUCAAGGGAACUGUGUCUGUUGCAAACAGUGUUUGAUGGGCUAUUGGAGAAUUAGCAGUCAAGGUUUGUCCAGAAAUUUCUUCAAUUGUUAUGACUCUUUAUGUCAAGUUUAGUAUCAAUUCUUCAACAUCCAAGGGACCUCAACAAAUCACUAAUAGAAAAU